rnacentral:rRNA from 1 species
UGGGGAAUAUUGGACAAUGGGGAAACCCGUGAUCCAGCAAUGCCGCGUGAGUGAUGAAGGCCCUAGGGUUGUAAAGCUCUUUUACCCGGGAAGAUAAUGACUGUACCGGGAGAAUAAGCCCCGGCUAACUCCGUGCCAGCAGCCGCGGUAAUACGGAGGGGCGUAGCGUUGUUCGGAAUUACUGGUCGUAAAGCGCACGUAGGCGGCUUUGUAAGUCAGAGGUGAAAGCCUGGAGCUCAACUCCAGAACUGCCUUUGAGACUGCAUCGCUUGAAUCCAGGAGAGGUCAGUGGAAUUCCGAGUGUAGAGGUGAAAUUCGUAGAUAUUCGGAAGAACACCAGUGGCGAAGGCGGCUGACUGGACUGGUAUUGACGCUGAGGUGCGAAGCGUGGGGAGCAAACA